UACAGAGGUCUCAAGCGUUGUUCGGAUUCAUUGGGCGUAAAGGGUGUGUAGGUGGCGCCGUAAGUCGGGUGUGAAAUUUCGGAGCUUAACUCCGAAACUGCAUUCGAUACUGCCGUGCUAGAGGACUGGAGAGGAGACUGGAAUUUACGGUGUAGCGGUGAAAUGCGUAGAUAUCGUAAGGAAGACCAGUGGCGAAGGCGGGUCUCUGGACAGUUCCUGACGCUGAGGCACGAAGGCCAGGGGAGCAAACGGG
rnacentral:rRNA from 1 species